ensembl:misc_RNA Metazoa_SRP Metazoan signal recognition particle RNA
GCUGGGUAUGGUGGCACAUGCCUGUAGUUCUAGCUGCUUGGGAGGCUGAGGCAGGAGGAUUGCUUGAGCCCAGGAGUUCAAGGCUGCAGUGAGCUGUGAUGGCGCCACUGCACUCCAGCUUGGGUGACAGAGUGAGAUCCUGUCUCAA